AAUCCAAGACCUUAAUAAAUAGAGACUUUAAGUUGGGCACAUGAAAGGCUAGAUAACUCUGGUUCUUUUUUUUUUUUCUUUUGGUUCCAGGGAUCGAACUCAGGACCUUGUGCUUGCCCGAAGCAGGCGGCGGAACCACUGAGCUAAAUCCCCCGACCAAGGCUAGAUAACUCUGAACCAGGCUCACUAGAAGAAUCAAGAAAUGCUACAUAAAAUAAAACGAAAUCUCCUUUCAUAUGCACUCCACAGGGCCUGAGCCUGAGGAAACUGAGAAUUGUGUGUGCUGAAGUUCUGGAUGUCAACGGGAAGGCGGCACCACGUUUUGAUUCCCUCAAACGCUGAGCACCUCCUGGCACACUGUAGGUGCAGUCCUUGCCCUUCAGUGGAAGACGGACGCUUGGGCCCGAAACCCAGGGGCUCCGCAGAAGCUCGCCCCCGAGCUCCUGUUCUAAGGGCAGGGAGAAUGAUGCUGGCGGGGUAAACACCAUAUUCUCUCCCCUGAUAAUCAACCGGACCAGCAACAGGUGAGGCAAAUUUGCUGAAACUCUGAGCAAAAAGCCUGCCUUGUCCUGCUGGAGAGAGCCUCGUAAAGAGAUCCGCACUCUCUCUACGUACAUUAGGAGCGUUCCACCCCAGGAAUUGUUAGCAGCCCUAUUUUGAGUGCAGAAAAAGCUGAUGCCACACAGGGGUAUAGGGAAGCGUGGAGUGAGUAGACAAGCUCUUGACAAUAUUAAUGAAAUGCACCUCGAACUAGUCUUAAAAUUCACUUUUCAAUUACAUGAGCCAAUAAAUCUUCU
rnacentral:lncRNA from 1 species